rnacentral:rRNA from 1 species
UACAUGAGUGGCAAGCGUUAUCCGUAAUUAUUAGGUGUAAAAAAUGUGUAGGUUGUAAAAGAAGUUAUAAUUUACUAUAACAGUUAAAUGGGUUUAUUUAUAAUACCUUUUUACUUGAAUUUUUUUUAAGUAAAUAAUAUUUAUAAAUUAGUGAUAAAAUACUUCGAGUUUAUAAGUAUUUUUAUAUACGAAAGUAAUUUACUAAAAAAAAUUGACGCUGAUACAUUAAAGUAUGGUUAUCAAAUAGG